rnacentral:misc_RNA from 1 species
UUUGCCAUUUUAGUGAAUGGUGAACAGGAUAUUAAUUUCGAGCCCAAAAACAUGACUAAAUGCAAGAAAAAUUUGCAAGUUGUGUUUUUAGCAGAAUUGAUUGUCUUUAUUUGUGAGGGAUCACAAUCAGUAAAUCUGCCUCCAUGGAUAACAUCAGUGUUUGAGCCUGAGUAUUACGUUCCAGCAAAACAUCCGACCCCUUUAAAUCUCCAGUGCAAGGCAAAGAAUGGGAUUAUAAGCUAUCAGUGGUUUAAGAAUAACGUCAAAUUUCAAACCAAUGAUCGAGUGGGUGUCAAUGAGCAGAGUGGGGAUAUUACCUUUCAUAACCUAACAACAGAAGAUUUUGGAGUGUAUUAUUGUGUAGCCGAAAAUAAGCAUGGUUCUUCAGUAUCCUCGUUCGUUAAAAUUCUUGAGGCAGCCCUUAAUGGAUUUAGUGGAAACGUACAUGGAAAUAUCAUAUGUAAGAUAUUCCAUCACUGCAAGAUUCCCUGUUCCAACCAGCCGAAUUGUCAACCAAUCAAUGAGUGUACAUUUGAAUGGAGAAUUGGAAGAGGAACAGGAAAUAAAAUUAAAACAAAUGAAAACGUAAUAAUUGAUAGUGAGGGUAAGAUUAACAUUUCUUUUUUUUUUUUAAUUUUUUUAAGACAAUUUAAAAAAUUUUUUUUUGUUGUUUUGAAUUUGAAUUUUGCAUAUCCAAUUAAUUUUUCUUGUUUCUUUUCAACCUUCAACUAGUGCUGGGUUCUUCUAUUAAGAAAGUAUUAAGUAUGUACAUUUUCAGCAAUUUCUUUUAAAGCGUUUUAAGAUUGUAGGUGAUCUACAUUUUCUGAGUAUUAACAGAACCUACGAAAGCCAUAAUUUAAGCUGUGGCAGAUGGAAUCCAAUCGUAAGGAGAUUUGCGACGGGUACAAAAUAUACAGUUAAAAUAGAUGGUAACUAAAUACGUUUUACUGAAAUAGAUAUGUGAGCUUGAACUUAUUCAAACGAUAUAAGAUGUACGUCAUAGGGCCAUUGUCAACGAACAAGUGUAUAAAACUGUAGAAUUUAAUACAUUAACGAAUAAUAACACCCGCAAGUAUAAAUAAAACAACUUUUUGAGCUGAAGUGUGAAUGUCUUAUACAAAUAAUUUUACAUCAUAAAAUUACUGUAGAUUGGCAACUAAUCACGAGGGUUUUAAUUUCACAAUGUCCAUGAUUUACUUGUUUGAGAAGUUUAAACAAUCUUGAAUUAUAUCAUUUCAAAAAUGUUUCAAUGCUUCUACAUAAAUAAUUGCAGAAAUAUUUUUCUGUUACUUAGUUGAAUUCUUUUAAAUUAGAUCAUUUUCUAAGAAGAUUUUAAACAGGCAAUGUUUUAUAUACCUGGAAAAGCCUUUAUUGUAACUGUAUUCAAUUGAAAUGUUUUUCUUUUUUAGGGGGUUGGAGCCUAAUUGGCACCUAUCUGAAAUGUUCAUUAAUUUGAUAUGACAAAUUUUCGGAAUUGGUUGUCAGAAUUUUAAUUGGUUUAUAAUGCUAUUUUUGAUAUAAAAUGUAUUUAAUAAAUUGGGAUUUGUU